UACGAAGGGGGGCUAGCGUUGUUCGGAAUCACUGGGCGUAAAGCGCACGCAGGCGGAUUGAUAAGUCAGGGGUGAAAUCCCGGAGCUCAACUUCGGAAUUGCCUUUGAUACUGUCAAUCUCGAGUCCGGGAGAGGUGAGUGGAAUUCCUAGUGUAGAGGUGAAAUUCGUAGAUAUUAGGAAGAACACCAGUGGCGAAGGCGGCUCACUGGCCCGGUACUGACGCUCAUGUGCGAAAGCGUGGGGAGCAAACAGG
rnacentral:rRNA from 1 species